UACGAAGGGGGCUAGCGUUGUUCGGAAUUACUGGGCGUAAAGCGCACGUAGGCGGGCGAUUAAGUCAGGGGUGAAAUCCCGGAGCUCAACUCCGGAACUGCCUUUGAUACUGGUCGUCUAGUGAUCGGAAGAGGUGAGUGGAAUUCCCAGUGUAGAGGUGAAAUUCGUAGAUAUUGGGAAGAACACCAGUGGCGAAGGCGGCUCACUGGUCCGAUACUGACGCUGAGGUGCGAAAGCGUGGGGAGCAAACAGG
rnacentral:rRNA from 1 species